GACGAACGCUGGCGGCGUGCCUAAUACAUGCAAGUCGAGCGAAGUUUUUCUGGUGCUUGCACUAGAAAAACUUAGCGGCGAACGGGUGAGUAACACGUAAAGAACCUGCCUCAUAGACUGGGACAACUAUUGGAAACGAUAGCUAAUACCGGAUAACAGUAUUUCUCGCAUGAGAGAUAUUUAAAAGUUGGUUAUGCUAACACUAUGAGAUGGCUUUGCGGUGCAUUAGCUAGUUGGUGGGGUAAAGGCCCACCAAGGCGACGAUGCAUAGCCGACCUGAGAGGGUGAUCGGCCACACUGGGACUGAGACACGGCCCAGACUCCUACGGGAGGCAGCAGUAGGGAAUCUUCCGCAAUGGGCGAAAGCCUGACGGAGCAACGCCGCGUGAGUGAAGAAGGCUUUCGGUUCGUAAAGCUCUGUUGUUAGGGAAGAAUGGAUAUGUAGUAACUAUACAUGUAAGAGACGGUACCUAACCAGAAAGCCACGGCUAACUACGUG
rnacentral:rRNA from 1 species